AAAAAAUAAAAAUAAUCAAUUAUUUGAGAGAAAGAAAAGAGAAGUUGCCUUUGCCUUCAACCCUAAGCCCACAGCCAAUUUAAGGAAGAACACCCUCCUCUGAUUUCCAUAUCUUCUCUCUCUAUCUAUCUAUGUAUUUUUCCUUGAAGUUGCAGAUACUCUCUUCUCUCUCUUAUCUUCUCCCUCUCUCUAAAGUAGAUUUUUCCAUGAUGAGGUUGAUAGGUUACUGAAAGACUGUCAGAAAUUGCCUGAUCAUUAAUAUCAUCAACGUGGGAUAGAGAAGCCACUUCAGAUAUAUUUUGGAGGAAUUUAUUUGUCUGACAGAAUCUGGAGGCAUGCCUGUAUCAGGAAACGACGAGACUGCUGUUAAAUCCCAUGCUGGGCAGUCUAGUCUUAAUAUUGCAGGUGUUCCUAUGAAGAAAAGGAGAUUCAUUUGGCCUCCUUCACCUACCCCUGAAGAACAAUCUUCACUACCUGUAGAAAAUGAUUCUCUAGAGAAACAACACAUUAGCCCAUCUCGGGAUUCUGAAUUGGUAAAUAAGAAACCUUCCGACAAUAAUUUGUCAACAAAUAGUAUUAACCACUCAAGUUAUAGAAUUGAAGAACCAAGCGGGACUCUGUCUGAUUCUUUGGCUAAGCUUGAUAAUGAUGAGAUGCUUGUGGCACCAGAAAAAUCGGCUAACAUCCUGACUGGGAUUAAACCCCUUGGUGGUGUUCCUAUGAAGAAAAGGCGGUUCAUUUGUCCUUCUUCACCUGCACGUGAAGUUCAAUCUUUACCAGCUAUGGAAAAUGAUUCUCUACAGAAAGAACAUGAUAGCUUGUCUCAGGAGUCAACUCCUUCAAGUGCUAGUGUUGCAGGAAGUUCUUGCUUAUCUGAUAAAAACAAGAAUAUUUUGCCCGAGGAUAGUAAGAUGCUUCCUGAAAGCAUUGUGCAUACCAAUACUAUAAACCACUCAAGAGUUAAAAUUGAAGAACCACACCAUACGGUUCGGUCAGAUUCUUUGGCCAAGCUUGACAAUGUGGAGAAGCUUGUGGCAGCAGAAAAAUCAGCUAAUAUCCUGGUAAAAUUAGAAGAAACUGAAUUGAAUUUAGUUCCAAAUAAAGUCCCUGCACUUCAUGUUAAUAAAGAGAUAUUUAACCAGCAAAUAGCAGAAGGAAAGUGCAAAGAGAAAUCUAUAGUUUCUGGGAAUCCUGAAUUUUCAUUAGGUUUGAAGGAACACGGUCUCUGUGCUUUGGAGGAUCAAAGACAUGAUGGGAAUAGUUGUAAUCAUGGAAAUGUAGAACCUGUUUCGUUGAAUUUGUCUUUAAGCAACAGUGAAAGGAGUACCCAGUAUAAAAUGGAUGAUGUGCAGUCGAAUACUGACAGUGCUAAUAUCUGUGCUGACAGAUCAAAUUGGGAUUUGAAUACUACAAUGGAUACUUGGGAAGAUUCUGUGAGUGAUAUAGCUGUAGGUCAAGUAACUGCUGAUGGAUCAGGGUCACACAUGGUUGGUGUCUUACGUGAUUUAGAGCCAUCAAAAUUAACAGGAAUAGUUGGAACCAGUGUUUCUACUGAAAAGAAAAUUAUUGAGAGUGAGUGCAGAUCUAGUUGUUCUAAAAUAUCUUCACAAUCUGGCCAACAGCAUAAUUCUGAGGAUUCUCUUCAUUUGCGCCUUAGUCCAUCUUUUCUUUCUUUUAGCAGUCAGGAACCUUCUAGUUCAUGCGCUAACAAAGACUCCCAGACUGCUAUUCCUAAUAUUAGCUUCCCUAGAGGAUUGUUAUCAGCAGGCAACACGGUUAACUCUAGAACCAUAAAAUCUGAACCAUUUGAUGAUAAUAGCCUCGAACAGGAUUCUAGCGGUACUAAAGCCAAUCCAACAGUACCAUUAGGUUUUAGACCAGUGUCAGUGAAGUGUGAAUUAGUUGAGAAGCUUGCUCAAGAUCCCCUCAAGGCAUUAAAUUUUAGCACUGUGAAACCAGUUGAUGCUAAAUCUAUGAAAUCUGAACCAUUUCAUGAGGGUAAUUCAGAAACACCAAAGACAGUAGAUGGGACGUCACACCAAUCUGAUAAGCAGGUGCUACAUGGUGAGGAUACCGGAGGACAAUCCACUUGUUCAACAAAUGAACAUAUUCUACAAGGUCAGGACAUAACAGGACAACCUACUUGUUCAACAAAUAAACAUGCACUGCAAGUUCAGGAUACUGGAGGACAACCUACUUCUUCAAUGCAUGAACAGGUGCUGCAAGGUCACAGUAACAUAACAAAACCUACUUGUUCGAUAGGUUUCUCUGAGAAUGGCAAUGUGUCAGACAAUUUAGGACGUGGCGAAGGUGAUGGAGAAGCCCUUUUCAACAACAAGGCUCCUAAGGAAUCAUGUGAAAGUGUUGGGCAGCUUGCUCUAGAAAUGGGUUCUCUGCCUGUAAGUCACAGUGGUGACGAAAUUAAUGAUUCUGGUGCAGUGGAUGUUGCUGUUGCUGAGAAGAAAAAAGUAAAUGACUUUGACCAGUGCAAACUCAAAGUCAUGAAUGAACUUCCCUCUGAUCCAUACCGAAAUGGUGAGGGUGCUGUAAGUGAUGAGGAAAAGAUUAAUUUGUCAGGUGAUAUGUUAGAAGAAGACUCGUAUGGCACUGAAUAUGAGUCUGAUGGCAAUUCUGUGCCCAUGGAUAUAGAAGACGACGGUCGAGGGCAGGAUGACUAUGAAGAUGGUGAGGUCAGGGAACCACAACUGCAUGGUGUAGUAGAGAGUCCUUUAUGUGCGAAAAGAAAGGACAUUAGUCAUGGUGAUUCUUACGGUAAAAAGGUGGAUUCUGCAGGGCUACAUGCUGAUGCUCAUCCUACUUCAUCCUGUGUUGAUGGAAAGGAAACUAAUGCAGAAGAACCUGUGGAAAUCAAUAAAGAUAAUGUUGAAGAAUGUAUUGACAUAAUUCUUGAUAAGAAACCCAUUGAUGAUGCCGAUAAAGAUGUUUCUAGGGAAGAAUCAUCAGCAGUUGAGAUCUCGGUCAGUGGAGCUGAUAAAAGGAAGGUAGUCAAGACCAUUAGAAGAAAACCACUCGACUUAUCAGCAAAUAAAGAUGUUAUGAAGAGUCUUGGAACUGAAAAGUCAUCAGAUCAAGCAGUUAGUGGAGGUCAAGGAACUUCGGUUGCUGUUGCUCAAGGAACAGAUGAGAAUGCAAAGACCAAUGAUGUGGAACAAAAUGAUUCAUCAUUACCCAAGGUGGAAACAUCAAUAAAUGCUGAUGAUGCAACUAAGGAUGCCAACAGUGGAGUUAAUCAGAGUAGGAUUAUAAAUCUGUCUAUAGCUUCUAACAUGUCUUCUGCUGUUAAGUCAAGAUAUAUAUCAGGCAGGCCAUUAUCAUUGCACCCUGGAAGAGAAAGAUUACCUGAUAUACCUUUAGAGGGAGACAAACUACAUCCUCGAGGGAGGGAUGAAACUAAUGAGGAUUCCCGCAAGUUCUCAAGAGAAAGGUAUCAAGAUCAGUCAUCCAGAAACUCUAGAUGGAAUUAUGUCCACGGUAGAGGGAGGCUUGCUAGUAGGAUUGACUCUAUGUGCAGUGAUAGAGAUUCUGAACGUGAUUGCAUUCCCAGACAUAAAUAUGCGCCUGCUGUUGCUGCAUCAGAUGCUGAAUUCAUGAAUUAUAGUAUUGGACCAGAUGGUGCAUUUGUUGGUUCUGUUCGGGGAGGGAGAAAGCUAUUGGAAGAUGAGACAUCAAUUUUCCGUCAUCUAUCCUCAAGGAGGCGUUCCCCUGGAGGGAGAGAUGGACCUGCCUCUCGUGGGCUUCCAAUGGUUCGAAGAGUUCCAAGAAGCAUUGGUGAAGACAAUUCUGAAGUUGUUGGACUAAGGCAUGCUGAUAAGAUUAUGAGGGGAUUUCCAGAUGAUGGUGAAGGACAUGCAUAUACACGUCCCCAACCUCCCUACGAGGGAUUAGAUGGUCGUUUUGUACAAGGGACUAGGACCUUUUCUUCUGUUCAGAGAAGGGGUCUUCCUCAAAUACAUUCAAAAUCUCCAAUUAGAUCUCGUUCUCCUGGUCCAUGGUCAUCUUCUAGGAGAAGAUCUCCAGAUGGGUUUGGUGUCCACCCAGAAUUGUCCCACCGAAGGUCACCAAUUUACAGGAUGGAGAGGAUAAGAUCACCUGAUAACCCAGGUUUUCCUGCAGAGAGGGUGCCUAGGAGGCAUGGUUCCCCAUCGUAUUUGUCCCGACCUAAUGAUUUGAGGGAAAUGGAUCCUGGUCGGGAUCAUGGUCAUCCAAGGUCUAUCAUCUCUAAUAGGAGCCCAACUGGCCGGAUUUUUCUCAGAAACAGUAGGAGAUUUGGUGUUGCUGAUCCUAGAGAAAGGGCAGAAAAUGAUGAGUUUUAUGAGGGACCCAUGCAUCCUAGCCGGUUUCAUGAACUUGGUGGUGAUGGAAAUGGUCAAGAGAGAAGGUUUGGUGAGAGACGGGCACCUGUUCGUGCUUUUAGGCCUCCUUUUAAUGGUGCUGAUGGUGAAAAUUUUCCUCUCAAUACAGAGGAUGGCCCUAGGUCCUUUAGGUUCUUCCCUGAAGAUGAUCCGGAUUUCCAUGAACAAGCUAAUUUGAGGGGAAGGGAAUUUGACAGACGGAUCAAGAACCGUCCAGGAAAUGCACCUAGAAGACCAAGAAGCAUUGAAGAACAAGAAGGAAAUUACCGGCAUGGAGGGCAGGUGUUGUAUGACGAUAGUUUUGAUGAUAUGUCGCGAGUGAAGAGAAAAAGAUUUUGACUAGACUAAUUUACAUCUGCAAUAUGCUAGAUCCUGGACUGCUUAGUGGAUAUGAGGAACCGGAAGGCAGAAUUAGUUCUGGUAAUUACAGCUAGAUAUAGGAAGUUGCUAUUCUGUUUGUGGUUCUCAGCCACUUUGUGAGUGUGAUAUGGAGUUAUGGAUGCUGGGUUGAUUUUAGACCACAUACUACCAGAUACUUGCAACUACUGGAUGAUUGAUCUGUCUUGUACAUACCUUGGAUCUUCUUACAACUUUUCUACCAGUUAUUUGCUAAUUCUUGAUAUUAGCAGCACUUCUUCAAAAGUUUCAUUUGAGCAAGUUUUGUACUGUCAUGAUUAUGGUGGCUCUUUAUAUAUUUUAUGGGUCAUUUAGGUGAAAUAUUUUUUAUAUAUAUUCUGUGGAGAUCCUCGAGCUUCUCAAAGCAUCUUUAGCUUUUUGUGCUGAUUAUUGUGCUUAGUUGGCCAGAGCAGGUAUGCUACAAGGAACUAUUUGAACUUUGAACUAAUUUCAAGCCAUCAAUGGAGCUUUGUUUUGAUUCGAUUCUUCACAUUCGUUUUGUGAUGUUGCAAAAGUGUGAAUCCUUCAAAUCAUGUUGCCAAAUUUGUGAAGUCAGCUGAUACAGCUUUUGCAGGGGUGCUGAAGGCCAGAAGGUUUUAUUAAG
rnacentral:misc_RNA from 1 species